rnacentral:rRNA from 1 species
AGUCGUACGAGAGUUUUUACUCUAGUGGCGGACGGGUGAGUAACACGUGAGAAUUUGCCUUUAGGAGGGGGACAACAAUCGGAAACGAAUGCUAAUACCCCAUAUGCUUUCGAGUGAAAUGGAUUUUAUCCGCCUAGAGAGAAGCUCGCGGCUGAUUAGCUUGUUGGUAAGGUAAGAGCUUACCAAGGCGACGAUCAGUAUCUGGUUUGAGAGGACGAUCAGACACACUGGAACUGAGACACGGUCCAGACUCCUACGGGAGGCAGCAGUGGGGAAUUUUCCGCAAUGGGCGAAAGCCUGACGGAGCAAUACCGCGUGAGGGAAGAAUGCCUAUGGGUUGUAAACCUCUUUUUUCAGGGAGGAAUCAAAUGACGUGUACCUGAAGAAUAAGCAUCGGCUAACUCCGUGCCAACAGCCGCGGUAAGACGGAGGAUGCAAGUGUUAUCCGGAAUCACUGGGCGUAAAGCGUCUGUAGGUGGUUUAAUAAGUCAACUGUUAAAUCUUGAUGGCUCAACUUCAAAAUCGCAGUCGAAACUAUUAGACUAGAGUAUAGUAGAGGUAAAGGGAAUUUCCAGUGGAGCGGUGAAAUGCGUAGAUAUUGGAAAGAACACCGAUGGCGAAAGCACUUUACUGGGCUAUUACUAACACUCAGAGACGAAAGCUAGGGUAGCAAAUGGGAUUAGAACCCCAGUAGUCUAGCUG